UCACUGAACUCAUUAUUAGAGAUGUGUCAUGAUGACCUUUAGACCUUUUAAAUGAUGACCUUUUAAAAUGUAAUUGCAGAACAUGGCCACCCUGUGGCAGAAUUGUACCCUAUUAUGUAUCCAAGCUCCUCCUAAAUGAGUCAACUGUGCAAAGUGACAUAUAAACUCAGGCUGGCUCAUAUUUUUACAAAAACGGCUUCUACAGGGCCAUAAUGUAAGAUACAAGGUGUCUUGCUCAUGUGUAAAACACUCCAGCAGUGGGUGGAGCCGAUUCACACUGACAGAGAUGCUGAUAGGAGGAAUUAAACAACAAUUUUGGCAUCAUUGAUCGUCUCUCUGAGGACAACAUGUUUUAUUUUACUUGGAUAAUAAUCCAACUUUACAUUGAAACUUCUUUGGCUGAUACAAUACAGCCAUUUACUUCAGAAAAACAUGUUGUUGGGGGCAGAAGCGUGACUCUCUCCUGUAACUACAGUACAACUGGUGUCACUGUUAACUCUCUCCAGUGGUAUCACCACCAGUAUCUCAGAGCAAAACCAGAGUUUUUACUUCUUGUCACUGAAUAUUCAAGCAAAUCUGAGCCUGAUCUUCGUCUCUAUUCAAAAGCUACAAAAGAGAUCAAACGUGUGGAUCUAGAGAUCUCCUCUGCUGAAGUGUCAGACUCUGCUGUGUAUUACUGUGCUGUGGUGCCCACAGUCACAGGAAACACUCGACACACCAUACAAAAACCUGAUUCAGUGUUGGAUCUACAGUACAUUACACAUUCAUUACAUGGAAGAUGCUACUCUGUCUUUGUGACAUUAUGUAAAGCAACAGUGUGACAGUGAUAAACUGAUUUUUAGAUGUGCUUUCUUUUCUCCAG